CGCAUUUGGAGCUCAUGAUUACCCAACCAGUGGUGUCUUUGAAGUUGAACCGCGAAAAUGUCCAGGAUUUAAGUUUAGGAAGUCAAUAUUAGUUGGGACUACAAAGCUGGAUCCGAAUCAGGUUAGAGAGUUCAUUGAGCAUCAAGCUGCUGCCUACAAUGGUGACUCCUAUCACUUGAUUGUGAAGAACUGCAACCAUUUUUGCAAGGAUAUAUGCCACAAGCUGACAGGGAAAAAGAUUCCAAAAUGGGUGAACAGGCUUGCAAAAUUAGGUUCAGCAUUCAACUGCAUGUUACCUGAGGCUUUGAAAGUUGCUGCUGUCGAAGACGAACCAAAUGGCCCAGAGUAUGAUAGUGAGAAGAGAAGGCUGAGAAGUGCUUUCAGUUGUUUUUCUUCGAUUUCAACGAGACAACAGAAGCUAUCUACGUCUUCGUUAUUUCUGCAGUCACCCGUUAAAGGUUGCUUACCUUCUUUGGAGUUGAGAAAGUCUACCAA
rnacentral:misc_RNA from 1 species